GAACGAUUGAGCGCGUGUGAGCUGGCUGGCCCUGAGGUAAAUCAGUCGCGAUCUUAACAAUCCCUGGUCUUCAUCCACUUUUAUUGUAUGGACAACAACAGCUCCGACUUGCCUUAAGAGCAUCAAACAGGUUUAGAACAACAUGAGGCAGUUUCCCUGAAGAUAAGCGCUGCUAGGAAAAGUGCCUAGUCCCUGCUUAGUCCCUUCAUCAAUCGGGGUAGAAUGAGACACGGGACCUUCUGGCCAACAGACAAGCUUCCUGGGCCACAAAUUGCUGACACUGUUCCAUGACACUGGUAUUUAAUCUGCCAGCGUGAAGCCCUGCACCAGAUCUAUCCCUACGACACAAGAUGUCCAUUAGCUUUCCAUGCCCUUAAGGUAAAAUGACAGCAGUCGUGAAAAGCUAAUGCAAGAUGCCAAAGUCAAGUCAGUGCAGGUAGACCUCUCCAAAUUCAAGCUGAGGCAAAGUGGUAAUUCCCGCAUGGAUGAAACAAAGUCGCUGCAGUUGGGCGCAGUCCUUAUACAGCCACUGAGCAAUUCCAUUACAGGCUUAUCAGAGAGGUGCUGCACUCAAAUCCCCAAAUCUCUGGUACGGACAACACUGGGCCAGUAAACUGAAGUGCAUUCGGUUACAACACACGAGGAACAGAAACCGUAUGUUCCGUUUUGCUUGAACACUCCCAAGGAUUCUUAAUACAUUUUUCUUUCACCCAUAAGCAUAUUUUUAGAGCCCCAUUUAUUACAUUUUUGGAAAACACCAUUCCAAAUGUAACAAAUGAUUCCACUCUUAUUACAAUUCUGAAUGAGUAUUAAACUGAAUUUAAGCUGUAAAUCCACCCUUGGGCGCUUUGCGCUCAAUGCAGGAUUGGGUCGCGGGGUCAAGGAAAUACACAUACUCAGAAAACUAAUUUCAUGUCUUCUAGCACACCGCAUUUAACAGCAGUGGUGAGUCAAGCAACUAGAAUAAGAGAAAAGAGAACAAAGAUAAAGAGGACCUAAUAGUUUUUUUUUUUUUUUUUUUACAUUUUCAACUUUCUUUAGUGUGUAAUAUUGCUGUUUGAGCUUAAUGUCUGCACAACGUCACUCCAAAAAGAGUUAUUCUUUAUAUCAGUAAGCACUGUUUCUGAACUCUCUGAAACACCUUGAUAAUAGUAGUCUUGAGUUUUCUUUGUCCCUGUGAAGUCAAUUCUGUGAGAAUUGUUUCUAAACACAUUAUAAAUGUUACAAAUGUAUUGCUGAAACACAUUACAAAGACUGUGAACUACGUAGUACUGAAUUGUGGAGUUAGGCCCCGUCCACACGGAGACGCGUUUCUGUGAAACCGCACAAAUUUUUUAUCGGAUAGGCGUUUCGUCCACACGGAUCCGACGUUUUCGAACGGUGAAACCGCUAUUUUUUGAAACCGGGCCCCAGAGUGGAUAAAUUUGAAAAAGCCGUCUUUGCGUUAUCGUGUGGACGGGGCAAUCCAUAUAUUUUCUGAAACGAUGAUGUCAUCACCCCACGUGUCGACCCUAGUCAGACGCGUUAACACCACAAAACAACACCAACAACAGCAAUAGCAGACUCUACAUGCUUGUGUUCGUGCUGCCGAAGCUACUGAGCCAGAAUAAAGCGUUAUUUCAACAACGCUGUAGGCUACUGUUCGCUCAAACCGCUGCCGGCGGGAGGGUCAAAGUAAAUGACUAGUCGUGGCAACCAAUCGGAAUCCUCUCAAGCGAGGACCUCUACAUUCCGAUUGGUUGCCGCCGAACCGCGUCAUAGCUCAUUACCAUAAAGUUGACUUGAUUUUAACUCUCCUCGAAGCUCUCAAGGCCCUUUCACACAGGACGCGGUAUGCGCUGCGCUAUGAAACCCAUUUGUUUCAAUGGCUUGCGCGGCGCAAGGACUGCGUCGACCAAAGCGCAGACGCAGCGGAGCGCAGCUUGCGCGCAGCUUGUGCGCACGCCGCGGUCAAAGUUCAAAAUAGUUCAACUUUUGCCGCUGCGCUCUGUGACGAUUACCCGCGCGACCAAUAGCAACGGGGCAUCCAAACAAUCGGAAAGCAAAAUGGAUGAACAGCUAUUUACUGUGUUGGAAUUUCCAGAGCUGUACAAUACAAGUUUGCUGGUCGUAUAGAGACAUCAGGAGAAAAGCUGUGUCAUGAAGACAUGACAGACACUUCUUAGCACGGGACAUAUACUUUGCUGCUGACCGAAAGGUGGAACAACAAUCAAAUGAUUAGAUGAUUAGAACUCCCGAUACAAGUUUGGAAAACUCCAACUAAUGUGCUCUGGCCAGCGCAGCGCA